rnacentral:rRNA from 1 species
UACGGAGAGUGCAAACGUUGCUCGGAAUCAUUGGGCGUAAAGCGCACGUAGGCGGUCGGCUAUGUCGGAUGUGAAAGCCUCGGGCUUAACCCGAGAAGGGCAUCCGAAACUGGCCGGCUUGAGUACGGAAGAGGGUCUCGGAAUUCCCGGUGUAGAGGUGAAAUUCGUAGAUAUCGGGAGGAACACCAGUGGCGAAGGCGGAGACCUGGGCCGAUACUGACGCUGAGGUGCGAAAGCGUGGGGAGCAAACAGG